AAGGAAAUAAAAUACCGAAUAGAAUAUUUUGACAUAUAAGAAUAGCUUCAGGAAAAACUAUUUCAAUUAAAUGUAAGCAAACAUACACAUUUUUUCAUUUUGAAAAAGGGGGGUUGAAACUCUCCAAUAUACUACCAGUCAUAAAAACGACUUUUUAGAAAAAUGUGACCGUACAAAAUUCUGACGACAGGGCAAAAACUAAAGAAGACAUAUUUGUCUUUAAGUUAAGACCAUUUUUAGCCGUGUGUUAUUUGGGGAGAUUAAACUCGCGAUCUAGACGACUUUUUACACUUCUGUCACCGCACUA
rnacentral:lncRNA from 1 species